ACUGGGCUUGACAUCCCGGGAAUCCCUUGGAAACAAGGGAGUGCCUUCGGGGAACCUGGAGACAGGUGCUGCAUGGCUGUCGUCAGCUCGUGUCGUGAGAUGUAGGGUUAAGUCCCGCAACGAGCGCAACCCUUGUCUUUAAUUGCCAUCAUUGAGUUGGGCACUUUAAAGAGACUGCCGGUGUUAAACCGGAGGAAGGUGGGGAUGACGUCAAGUCCUCAUGGCCUUUAUGCCCAGGGCUACACACGUGCUACAAUGGGUGGUACAAAGAGCAGCCAGCUCGCGAGAGUGAGCAAAUCUCAAAAAGCCAUCCUCAGUUCGAAUUGAAGUCUGCAACUCGACUUCAUGAAGUUGGAAUCGCUAGUAAUCGCGGAUCAGCAUGCCGCGGUCGAAUACGUUCCCGGGCCUU
rnacentral:rRNA from 1 species